rnacentral:rRNA from 1 species
ACUAAGGAUUCCUAGUAGCGGCGAGCGAGCGGGAAGAGCUCAAAUUUAUAAUCUGGCACCUUCGGUGUCCGAGUUGUAAUCUCUAGAAAUGUUUUCCGCGUUGGACCGCACACAAGUCUGUUGGAAUACAGCGGCAUAGUGGUGAGACCCCCGUAUAUGGUGCGGACGCCCAGCGCUUUGUGAUACAUUUUCGAAGAGUCGAGUUGUUUGGGAAUGCAGCUCAAAUUGGGUGGUAAAUUCCAUCUAAAGCUAAAUAUUGGCGAGAGACCGAUAGCGAACAAGUACCGUGAGGGAAAGAUGAAAAGCACUUUGGAAAGAGAGUUAACAGUACGUGAAAUUGUUGGAAGGGAAACGCUUGAAGUCAGACUUGCUUGCCGAGCAAUCGGUUUGCAGGCCAGCAUCAGUUUUCCGGGAUGGAUAAUGGUAAAGAGAAGGUAGCAGUUUCGGCUGUGUUAUAGCUCUCUACUGGAUACAUCCUGGGGGACUGAGGAACGCAGUGUGCCUUUGGCGGGGGUUUCGACCUCUUCACACUUAGGAUGCUGGUGGAAUGGCUUUAAACGACCCGUCUUGAACC